rnacentral:rRNA from 1 species
GACAGAGGCCUCGAGCGUUAGGCGGAAUCACUGGGCUUAAAGCGUGUGUAGGCGGAUCGUUAAGUGCCUUGUGAAAUCCCACGGCUUAACUGUGGAACGGCUGGGCAUACUGGCGGUCUUGAGCCAUCUAGGGGCGCUGGAAACAAACGGUGGAGCGGUGAAAUGCGUAGAUAUCGUUUUGGAACGCCAAUGGUGAAAAACAGGUCGCUGGGGAUGAGCUGA